rnacentral:rRNA from 1 species
GACGAACGCUGGCGGCGUGCCUAAUACAUGCAAGUCGAACGCUGAAGAGAGGAGCUUGCUCUUCUUGGAUGAGUUGCGAACGGGUGAGUAACGCGUAGGUAACCUGCCUUGUAGCGGGGGAUAACUAUUGGAAACGAUAGCUAAUACCGCAUAAUAAUGGAUGACACAUGUCAUUUAUUUGAAAGGGGCAAUUGCUCCACUACAAGAUGGACCUGCGUUGUAUUAGCUAGUAGGUGAGGUAACGGCUCACCUAGGCGACGAUACAUAGCCGACCUGAGAGGGGGAUCGGCCACACUGGGACUGGGACACGGCCCAGACUCCUACGGGAGGCAGCAGUAGGGAAUCUUCGGCAAUGGGGGCAACCCUGACCGAGCAACGCCGCGUGAGUGAAGAAGGGUGUCGGAUCGUAAAGCUCUGUUGUAAGUCAAGAACGAGUGUGAGAGUGGAAAGUGCACACUGUGACGGUAGCUGACCAGAAAGGGACGGCUAACUACGUG